ACAGUGGGUAAGGGCUCAGCACUAAGAGGCAACCUACCAAAAGGCUCCUAAAUCCUUAUUUUUACUUCUAAAAUCUUUAGCUGAUGCUGGACAGUAUGAAACAUGAGGGGGUUGUGGGGAAGAGUGGCUGGAUUUUGUUGGGAGCAAGGCAGCCCGUUGCAGAGGAGAUCUGGGAAACGUGGUUCUAGCUGCAGAAGACUGUGGAAUUGAGGGGAAAUGGGAGGAUGCUGUUCUGCCUUUUGGGGAGGUAGGCUGAUGACAGCACUCAAGGUUGGGAGAGAGAACAUGUUGGAAGACCAGCAGCUGUUCCUCUAAAUGACUGCAGAAAUGGGAAGUUUCUAGAGGACAAGGGUGCAGCUUCCUCUUGAAGAAUGCUUGGCCAAGACACUUCUCCAGUGGUCACAGAGUCUGAGUUGCACUGCAAGGAAACUGGGAAACAAGCAAGAAAAAUCAGAAGUUGGGAUAAAUGCCUAAUAUUAGGCAGAAGGCCCCUGAGAGCAAAGAGGCAGCUGAGUUGAUGUGAAGGCAGGCAGUUAUUGAUCUGCCAAAAGAAGGGCCUUUGUCACAAGGAUGUCAGACAGCCACUUCUGUUCUGUAUUCCCCAUUGUGUCCUCAGGUCUUGCCCGCAGCCAGAGUGGGAGCAGGAAGAGGUAAGUUGAAGGAAUGGCCGCUUCUCGGCCGCAGGAGUUUCAGAGCAACUUCUUUAUGUCCCAGUGGGUGGUUGGCAGUGGUUCCCACGUUAGUGGUUAUGAUUUUGGAAACACUGCUAGCUGAGUUAUCUUUAUGUGAAGCUUGAUAAAGCUUGGGUUUGCUCCAGCUGGUGCUGAGUGUUUUGGGGUGUGGAUUUAUGCUCUUGGAUUCAGUCAGAGGUCCAAGAAUACUAUGAUAAUUCAUGUGAUAGAUCGAGCAGGAGCAGUUUUUGGAGUCUGAGGACAAGUGACAGUGAAUUUGAAGAAGGUCUCACAGAUUUCCUGAUUCUUUUGUACUACUCUCCCAAGCUCUUAGUACAGUGUUCUGAACACAGUAAGUGCUCAAUAACUAUCAUUAUUUGAUUGAGGAUUGACUGAUUGUUUUACUCCUUGGAGCAGGGCUCAGAAGCAACAGUCCCAACUAGGAUUCUGACUUCUGUUUGCCUUUAGUUUUUUAGAUCAGCA
rnacentral:lncRNA from 1 species